AUUGAACGCUGGCGGCAUGCUUUACACAUGCAAGUCGGACGGCAGCACAGAGAAGCUUGCUUCUUGGGUGGCGAGUGGCGAACGGGUGAGUAAUAUAUCGGAACGUACCGAGUAAUGGGGGAUAACUAAUCGAAAGAUUAGCUAAUACCGCAUAUUCUCUGAGGAGGACAGCAGGGGACCUUCGGGCCUUGCGUUAUUCGAGCGGCCGAUAUCUGAUUAGCUAGUUGGUGGGGUAAAGGCCUACCAAGGCGACGAUCAGUAGCGGGUCUGAGAGGAUGAUCCGCCACACUGGGACUGAGACACGGCCCAGACUCCUACGGGAGGCAGCAGUGGGGAAUUUUGGACAAUGGGCGCAAGCCUGAUCCAGCCAUGCCGCGUGUCUGAAGAAGGCCUUCGGGUUGUAAAGGACUUUUGUCAGGGAAGAAAAGGCUGUUGCUAAUACCGACAGCUGAUGACGGUACCUGAAGAAUAAGCACCGGCUAACUACGUGCCAGCAGCCGCGGUAAUACGUAGGGUGCGAGCGUUAAUCGGAAUUACUGGGCGUAAAGCGAGCGCAGACGGUUACUUAAGCAGGAUGUGAAAUCCCCGGGCUCAACCUGGGAACUGCGUUCUGAACUGGGUGACUAGAGUGUGUCAGAGGGAGGUAGAAUUCCACGUGUAGCAGUGAAAUGCGUAGAGAUGUGGAGGAAUACCGAUGGCGAAGGCAGCCUCCUGGGAUAACACUGACGUUCAUGCUCGAAAGCGUGGGUAGCAAACAGG
rnacentral:rRNA from 1 species